UCUAACUGGUAUUCCGAUGAGUGGAAUGAUAGGGUAACGCCUUAAAACGCUCCCCUGAUACUACGACAAAAGGGUGGUUUUGCAACGAAUCUGCCCUGAUGCAGCUCGUUGAAGUCGGCUAUAUGCACUCGCUAUAUCGACAGCGUUCAAGCGAAUGCACCGUUAUGGCAAAAGCAAACCAGAGGUGGUUGUGAGUGUUAGGCCGGGGGUCUAUAAA
rnacentral:ncRNA from 1 species